AGUGAACGCUGGCGGUAGGCCUAACACAUGCAAGUCGAACGGCAGCACAGUAAGAGCUUGCUCUUACGGGUGGCGAGUGGCGGAAGGGGGAGGAAUACAUCGGAAUCUACUUUUUCGUGGGGGAUAACGUAGGGAAACUUACGCUAAUACCGCAUAAGACCUACGAGUGAAAGCAGCGGAUCUUCGGACCUUGCGCGAUUGAAUGAGACGAUGGCGGAUUAGCUAGUUGGCGGGGUAAAGGCCCACCAAGGCGACGAUCCGUAGCUGGUCUGAGAGGAUGAUCAGCCACACUGGAACUGAGACACGGUCCAGACUCCUACGGGAGGCAGCAGUGGGGAAUAUUGGACAAGGGGCGCAAGCCUGAUCCAGCCAUACCGCGUGGGUGAAGAAGGCCUUCGGGUUGUAAAGCCCUUUUUUUGGGAAAGAAAAGCAGCAGGUUAAUACCCCGCUGUUCUGACGGUACCCAAAGAAUAAGCACCGGCUAACUUCGUG
rnacentral:rRNA from 1 species